AGAGUUUGAUCCUGGCUCAGGAUGAACGCUAGCGGCAGGCCUAAUACAUGCAAGGCGAGGGGGUAGCAAUACCACCGUCGUACGGGUGCGUAACACGUAUGCAACCUACCUAUCACAGGGGGAUAGCCUUUGGAAACAAGGAUUAAUACCGCAUAAAGCAGGGGCUUGGCAUCAAGAUACUGCUAAAGAUUUAUCGGUGAUAGAUGGGCAUGCGUCUGAUUAGUUAGAUGGUGAGGUAACGGCUCACCAUGACGAUGAUCAGUAGGGGGCGUCAGAGCGUGGUCCCCCACACUGGCACUGAGAUACGGGCCAGACUCCUACGGGAGGCAGCAGUAGGGAAUAUUGGGCAAUGGGUGGAAGCCUGACCCAGCCAUGCCGCGUGCAGGAAGAAGGUCCUCUGGAUUGUAAACUGCUUUUAUUAGGGGAGAAAAGAUGGGAUGCGUCCUAUUAUGACGGUACCUAAUGAAUAAGCCACGGCUAACUACGUGCCAGCAGCCGCGGUAAUACGUAGGUGGCAAGCGUUGUCCGGAUUUAUUGGGUUUAAAGGGUGCGUAGGUGGUUUUAUAAGUCAGUGGUGAAAUAUGGUUGCUCAACAAUCAAAUUGCCAUUGAUACUGUGAGACUUGAGUGAAGAGGAGGCUGGUGGAAUGGAUGGUGUAGCGGUGAAAUGCAUAGAUAUCAUCCAGAACGUCAAUU
rnacentral:rRNA from 1 species